GUCUCCUCGGGGUUUCUCUGUGUCUUGGAAGAUAUGAUUGUCCGGGCAUUGAAUCCAGCCUUUUGGAAUCUGAAAGGAAAAGCAACCAAAGACUAAGUCUUACACUCAGUCUGAUCUACGAAGACGUUGCUAAGACCGAUGGCCAGGACCUUACAGCCUAUAUUUUCUUCUAGGAGUUUUAUGGUCUGGAAACAGAGACUAAGAAGUUAUGGACUUGUCAAAAGUCUCACAGCAAUGCAUUUAAGAUGAUGUCCAGUCAGCUUGGGCUGCUAUAACAAAACACUAUAAACAGAGUGGCUUGUCAACAAUAGGCAUUUAUUUCUCACAGUUCUGGAGGCUGGAAGUUCAAGAUCAUGGUGUCAGCAUGGUCGGGUUCUGAUUCCUUUCCAUUCUGAGAAGCCAAGGUAUUUUCGCCCGGUGGAGGAAUGACGUAGUUCCAUCCUAAUCUUGUCUUAUACUUGCAGACUAGCCCUGAGCUAACAUCUGCCGCCAAUCCUCCUUUUUUUGCUGAGGAAGACUGGCUGUGAGCUAACAUCCAUGCCCAUCUUCCUCUACUUUAUAUGCGGGACGCCUACCACAGCAUGGCUUGCCAAGCGGUGCCAUGUCCGCACGCAGGAUCGGAACCAGCGAAUCCCCGGGCCGCAGAAGUGGAAUGUGCGCACUUAACCGCUGCGUCACCAGGCCGGCCCCUGACUUACUUUAAAUGUCUGCACCUGGUUCAAUUGUAGUUUCCAUCUAGAAACAUCAUCGUGUUUUACUUUAAUCUCUGCAUUGACCUGAAAACUGCUAAAUCUUUUUGAGGUUAGAAUUGCUUCAAGAUAAAUGGUGCAUUAAUAUGACUAUUGUUGCUCUGAAUAUUGGCCCUAAAGAAAUUACCCAGGAAAAAAAAGAGCAUCUGUUAGCGUGUGCCUGCUCGUGGCAGAGAGGAGCCUGCAUGCAGAGCAGUCCUAAGAAUGCAGCGUCCUAGUAUGCCAGCUCGUUCCAUGGACUGGAGAGCAGCUCCUCUGCUGUGCUGCAGUGGCGCUGAGCCCUGCCUCUGAAUGGAUGUCGUGAACACUGACUGUCAUCGGCCUGUUUUCCCUUUCUAAAAGAAACGGAACACAUGUUACAUCAGGAUUUCAUUUACUAAUAAAAUGUUCCUUUUCA
rnacentral:lncRNA from 1 species